rnacentral:rRNA from 1 species
CCCUAUGGGGUGCAGCAGCUGUAUUUAUUACCAAUCAAAGAUAUUCCGAUAAAGACAUUGAAGUGCUUGAUGUGAAUACUUCCGGGUUGGGGCACAUAGGUAAAAGUAUAGAUGCGGUAUAUGUGAGACCUAAGAACGGAGGGCUAAGAAUGCCUUUUGGGAAAGAUGUUUUUCAAUAUGCCUGUAAAUAUAUGUUACUUGAAACUGAACAGAUAUUGCAUGAGAACUACAUCCCUAUAAGUCAAUUGAACUAUUUUAUUCCUCACCAGGCUAAUGCCAGAAUUACUGAUUACGUGGCAAAAAAAUUAAAAUUAGAACCAUCACUGGUACUCACAAACAUUGAACAGCUUGGCAAUACCGGUUCGGCAAGUACUCCAAUUGCAUUAUCUCAAAACAUGGGAAAAUAUAAGCCAAACGAUAUAAUUGUUAUUUCAGUUUUUGGCGGGGGGGC